AGCCUGGGGUUUUGUUUGCAGUUUGGGAGGAGUAUCCAAACAGCCCCUCUCACAGGCUCCCUUCUGCCUUCUCUCCAUGCUGUGAAUGCAAUGCACACUAGCUCGGAAGGGAACGGGCCCUCCAGGUCCUGCUUUUAAUCUGGAAAUGCUAAGCCUGCUCCUGUACCAAAGGCAGAGUCCACCGUCCCUUCAAGCCUUGUAAGAAGACACAGCAGCUCUGUUGUGAGCCAUGCCACCAGACGCAACAGCCCCUGUGACAAUAGGACUCCCUCCUCCACCUCCCUGCACCUUCCCACAGACCAGCACCUGGGGAAAGAGUGACAGUCCAUGGGCAGUCUUCAGAGAGAAUUUCUGAGAUGUUGCCAGCGGCAGGAAGGAAAAGUCUUGGGUAGAAGUCACUGGUGGUGAUGUGAAGGGCAGUGAGUUCCUGCGGGACCCCAUACGAACCUGAUCCACUUGAACAGCAGUUAGGAACGGAACAAGGCACACCUGAGAGUGUGCCUAUAGAGCAUUAUGCCAGAAUAGACAAUGCUGUAGUGGCCCCCAAAACCUACCGCUUCAGAGCAAAUAGCAGAGGUAUGACUCUGACACUAAUGAGAAAAGGACAAGGUAUGACCGCACACAGCAAUCGGAUCUCUUGGUCACACUGAGACCGGUGACCCAUCAGUUCUUAUAAGAGAAGCAGAGGCUCUACUGAGCGGAAGCUCUCGCCAAAAGCUUUCUCAGGACAGCCAACAGACUUGUUACACACAUUACCGCAACCCAGGCUGUGGCUGAUGAAGCUAGAGUGGGGACAGCCCAUGACUAAGGUCUCUCUGAGGUUGUCCAAGGAUCAUGUGGCCACCCAAGGCUUCCGUCCACCACUACCAAUGAGGAGACUGGACCAUAUGGAAGCGGAGAACAAACGCAUUCAAGACAAAGGUGAUCACGCGAAACAACACCUACGGAAAAAGAGGGAAAAUACACGAGAAUAAAUUAUGUUGGGAACAUUUA